AAAAAACCCCAAAGCCAAAAAAAAAAAAAAACCCAACAGGUGCUCUUGAUUUGACCUGCAGAACAUUGGGAGUCUGAAAAAGGAGUUUCCCAUUGUGCUUGAUGGGUUUUGGUAUGGAGUAAGGUGGGCUACUUUCAAAACGGGGUGUUGGAAUGACUUGUGCAAAUAUGGGAAAUGGGGCCACCCCGAUGUCUUUAUUCUGUGCAAACUUAAAGUUGCUUUUAAACGGGCACCAUCUCUCUAUUCCAUCAAGUUGGUGAAACCCAGCAACAGGACAGGAAAGAGUUUUGACUCUAACUGGAGGAAAUACGAAAAAUGGAAAGCCUUCAAGCAUUGCCUUUCUGCUUCUUUCCUAGCACAGUCUUAGAAAAAACCUUACAUCUUGCUGAUGGAUCUAAUUCAACAUGGAAUAUCCUUUUAUCAAAGGAGAUGUUAAAGAAAACAUUACUACAUCUUUGAGCAACUUUGUAUAACCCCAAGCCCAUCAUUUUUCAUUAGUGAUCUAUUGUUCCAAAAUUAAUAAAACAGCAGCCUUACUCCCACUCUUAGAAUAAAAAAAAAGCAUAAUUUGAGUUUGAAAAUCUGUAUUUUAAAAAUCCAUAUUGUUGAAAAUUAUUUGAA